rnacentral:rRNA from 1 species
GAUGAACGCUGGCGGCGUGCCUAAUACAUGCAAGUCGAGCGAACAGAUAAGGAGCUUGCUCCUUUGACGUUAGCGGCGGACGGAUGAGUAACACGUGGAUAACCUACCUAUAAGACUGGGAUAACUUCGGGAAACCGGAGCUAAUACCGGAUAACAUAUUGAACCGCAUGGUUCAAUAGUGAAAGGCGGCUUUGCUGUCACUUAUAGAUGGAUCCGCGCCGUAUUAGCUAGUUGGUAAGGUAACGGCUUACCAAGGCAACGAUACGUAGCCGACCUGAGAGGGUGAUCGGCCACACUGGAACUGAGGCACGGUCCAGACUCCUACGGGAGGCAGCAGUAGGGAAUCUUCCGCAAUGGGCGAAAGCCUGACGGAGCAACGCCGCGUGAGUGAUGAAGGUCUUCGGAUCGUAAAACUCUGUUAUCAGGGAAGAACAAAUGUGUAAGUAACUGUGCACAUCUUGACGGUACCUGAUCAGAAAGCCACGGCUAACUACGUG